UACGAAGGGGGCUAGCGUUGUUCGGAUUCAUUGGGCGUAAAGGGUGCGUAGGCGGCGCGGUAAGUCGGGUGUGAAAUCUCGGAGCUUAACUCCGAAACUGCAUUCGAUACUGCCGUGCUUGAGGACUGGAGAGGAGACUGGAAUUUACGGUGUAGCGGUGAAAUGCGUAGAGAUCAUGAGGAAGACCAGUGGCGAAGGCGGGUCUCUGGACAGUUCCUGACGCUGAGGCACGAAGGUCAGGGGAGCAAACGGG
rnacentral:rRNA from 1 species